AACGCAUGUGGCGCCGCGGAGCAGUUCCGCGGCAUGCCUGUUUGAGAACCGGACCAGUCGCAUGUCCGGCGACGCAGCGCGGCAGCAGCAGCGGCAGCGCUUCGUCGUCGGCCCUUGGGCAGUCAGCAGUGACUGCCUCGAAGGCGGGCGCGGGGACGGGAUAGGCAAGGCGAGGCGAGGCAUGGGCGGCUCGUGCCGUGCCGUGCCGCGUCGCAGUCAGUCGUCCUGCGCAGGCGCGUGAGCGCACAGCGGUCUCAAAUCAGGCAAGACUACCCGCCGAACUUAA
rnacentral:misc_RNA from 1 species